UACGUAGGUGGCAAGCGUUAUCCGGAAUUAUUGGGCGUAAAGCGCGCGCAGGUGGUUUCUUAAGUCUGAUGUGAAAGCCCACGGCUCAACCGUGGAGGGUCAUUGGAAACUGGGAGACUUGAGUGCAGAAGAGGAAAGUGGAAUUCCAUGUGUAGCGGUGAAAUGCGUAGAGAUAUGGAGGAACACCAGUGGCGAAGGCGACUUUCUGGUCUGUAACUGACACUGAGGCGCGAAAAGCGUGGGGAGCAAACAGGG
rnacentral:rRNA from 1 species